UUCAGGAAAUGAUGACUGAUGAACCAGAGGAGUUUGCUGUAGAGCCUAAAACACUAAAGAAACACCAUGGAGAACCAAGGAGUCCUUCCUCAUCUAAGAGGUCAAGUGUGGCAUUGCCAUCAAUGAAACAAACAAGAGAUGGAGAAUCCCAUCUUGGGGCCUCAUCCGUGUCUGUGAAGAUGAAUAUGAAAAAAUCUUCAAAUUGCUUAAAGAAGUGCAAGGACCUCCAGAUGUAAGGAAACAGUUUGUUGAAUUUGCCAUCAAAGAAGCAGCAAGAUUUAAAAGAGGGCACUUAAUCAAGCACCUUAAGAUAAUACUAGAAAAAAUAGAUUCUGACCAUUUUCUCAACAAAGACAUUUGCAUUCUAAACAUAUAAUCCUGUUAUCAUCAUGAUCAAUAAGAAAUAAUGACCAGAUUGCCAUCUUCUGGAUGGAAUGGAAUGUUGUCAAA